rnacentral:rRNA from 1 species
UACGUAGGAUCCAAGCGUUGUCCGGAUUUACUGGGUGUAAAGGGUGCGCAGGCGGACUUGUAAGUUAGGGGUGAAAUCUCUCGGCUCAACCGGGAAACUGCCUUUAAGACUGCAGGUCUUGAAUCCGCGAGAGAGUUGUGGAAUUCCGAGUGUAGCAGUGAAAUGCGUAGAUAUUAGGAAGAACACCAGUGGCGAAGGCGCUCUACUGGGCCAUUACUGACGCUGAUGGACGAAAGCUAGGGGAGCGAAAGGG